rnacentral:lncRNA from 1 species
AAAAAAAACUUCAAUGCAGCUUAACUGAUUUUUAUUUUUUAUUUUUUGAGAGAAAAAGGUAGCAUCCUAAUCACAUUCGCAUAUAUAUUUUUUUUAAAAAAAAAAAAUUAGCUGAAAAUGUGAAGCAACUAGGUUUUGAACUUGAGAUCUCGGGUACCAAUCACUAAAUCAUUUACCACUUGCACUAAGAAUAAUCAAUAAGUUUGAUUGAUAUCUGAAAGUAAAAAAAAAUAUGAUUCCAAGUGAGAUGCAUAUGAUAUAUAUGAGUCUGGUUACUAUACUAUCGAUAGUACCAAGCGCUUUGUGCUAUCGAAUUUUCCACCGUAAAAUCUAUCAUUUUAACUAUUUCUAUCCGUUACAUCAUACUAUUCAACUAACUACCCAUUCAAACCUAGAGAACCACGAUUAUCCUAAUCACACAUCCCUUCAUCCAAAGGCUGAGAACCUAAUAGCACAAAGCAUUUGAUAUUAAUAUAGUAACCUAUUUUGAUAUAUAUAUAUAUAUAUAUAGAGAGAGAGAGAGAGAGAGAGAGAGAGCUACUAUACUAUUGGAAGUACAGAUGAUCUACUUCUUUCGACUUUUUAGUCCUUAGAUCAACUCUUUUAAUCAUUUCUAACCUUUGAAUUAAUAUUAUUAUUCUGUGGAGACCACUCAAUCCUAAGAGUACUACUCAAUCCUAGAAGAGAUAUAUAUAAAAUGGCUAUUCGACUCUUACGAGUUUAGACCCAUUUGUACUCAUAAGUUUUCGACCAUUGGAUGGAAGGAUGUGCGGUUGGGAUGAUAGUGACAUUCAAUUAAGAUGAUAGUGAUUCUCUAAAAUUGAGUAAGUGGUUGAUUGAAUAAUAUAAUUUAACGAAUAAAAAUGAUAAAAAAUAGAUCUAACAUUCGAAAAUUUAUACUGUCCGUCCCUAGAGCAAAUGGCAAAGGGCUUGGUGGCUGGUACCUGAGACCCAAGUUCGAAUUUUAGUUGAUUCACAUUUCUAACUAAGUUUAUUUCUUAAUGAAAUAAAACGAAGCGGGUAGCGUGUUAUCUAUCUUUCUCAAAAAAAAAAAGUUUGAAAAUUUAUAAGCGUAAAGAAAUCUAUACUUUUAUU